rnacentral:rRNA from 1 species
GAGGGUGCCGCCGUCCGGCGUGUCCGUGUCUUUUGGCGCCCUUCCAUCCUUCUGUUAGCGUCUCUUGGCAUUCAUUUGCUGGUGGCGGGCUCAGAUAUUUUACCUUGAGAAAAUUAGAGUGUUUCAGGCAGGCUAGGCCGGAAUACAUUAGCAUGGAAUAAUGGAAUAGGACUACGGUCUCUUUGUUGGUUUGAGGGACUGCAGUAAUGAUUAAUAGGGAUAGUUGGGGGCAUUAGUAUUUAAUUGUCAGAGGUGGAAUUCUCAGAUUUGUUAAAGACUAACUUAUGCGAAAGCAUUUGCCAAGGAUGUUUUCAUUAAUCAAGAACGAAAGUUAGGGGAUCAAAGACGAUCAGAUACCGUCCUAGUCUUAACCAUAAACUAUGCCGACUCGGGAUCGGGGGCGUGUUCUAUCCGCCUUCGGCACCGUAUGAGAAAUCAAAGUCUUUGGGUUCUGGGGGGAGUAUGGACGCAAGGCUGAAACUUAAAGGAAUUGAC